rnacentral:rRNA from 4 species
ACAAUAAAUACUGAUACAGGGCUCUUUUGGGUCUUGUAAUCGGAAUGAGUACAAUUUAAAUCCCUUAACGAGGAACAAUUGGAGGGCAAGUCUGGUGCCAGCAGCCGCGGUAAUUCCAGCUCCAAUAGCGUAUAUUAAAGUUGUUGUGGUUAAAAAGCUCGUAGUUGAACCUUGGGCCUGGCUGGCCGGUCCGCCUCACCGCGUGCACUGGUCCGGCCGGGCCUUUCCCUCUGCGGAACCCCAUGCCCUUCACUGGGUGUGGCGGGGAAACAGGACUUUUACUUUGAAAAAAUUAGAGUGCUCAAGGCAGGCCUAUGCUCGAAUACAUUAGCAUGGAAUAAUAGAAUAGGACGUGUGGUUCUAUUUUGUUGGUUUCUAGGACCGCCGUAAUGAUUAAUAGGGACAGUCGGGGGCAUCAGUAUUCAAUUGUCAGAGGUGAAAUUCUUGGAUUUAUUGAAGACUAACUACUGCGAAAGCAUUUGCCAAGGAUGUUUUCAUUAAUCAGGAACGAAAGUUAGGGGAUCGAAGACGAUCAGAUACCGUCG